rnacentral:rRNA from 1 species
UACGUAGGGUGCAAGUGUUGUCCGGAAUUAUUGGGCGUAAAGAGCUCGUAGGCGGCUCGGUAAGUCAGGUGUGAAAACUCUAGGCUCAACCUAGAGACGCCACCUGAUACUGCUGUGGCUAGAGUCCGGUAGGGGAGCAUGGAAUUCCUGGUGUAGCGGUGAAAUGCGCAGAUAUCAGGAGGAACACCAGUGGCGAAGGCGGUGCUCUGGGCCGGAACUGACGCUGAGGAGCGAAAGCGUGGGGAGCAAACAGG